UACGUAGGGGGCGAGCGUUAUCCGGAAUUACUGGGUGUAAAGGGAGCGUAGACGGCGAAGUAAGCCUGAAGUGGAAGCCCGCGGCCCAACCGCGGAACUGCUUUGGGAACUGCUUAGCUGGAGUAUGGGAGGGGUAAGCGGAAUUCCUGGUGUAGCGGUGAAAUGCGUAGAUACCAGGAGGAACACCGGUGGCGAAGGCGGCUUACUGGACCAUGACUGACGUUGAGGCUCGAAAGCGUGGGGAGCGAACAGG
rnacentral:rRNA from 1 species